CUCACCUGACCUAACCAUACCUACAACCUAGUCACCCUACAACUUACCAAUAACCAACCUGCAACCUACAACCUACCAUUCCUACCUAACAAACUAGAUAUGACAGCUCGGGUGACGUCUGCUAAGAGAUUGCCGCAUUGUGUACUUUGUAUCAUUUUGUAAGAAACCUUAUCAGAGUUGGGAAACCAAACAUUUGCUGGACAACAUUUCCAGGGCAAUUUCACUCCACACUUCACACUAGAAAGAAAUGAUGUGUCUGCGUGUGCUCAGAUAGACAAUGAUACGUCAACUAAAGGUAAAUUAUAAAUUAAGACUACAAAUAAAAACUGAGGAAAACAAUAAGAAAGAAAAAGAUAACGUUCUGGUGGCGUUGGUGAAGGUAGACAGGCACAGUGACGGAAGACUGCCCAUCUUGCACCAAUGUAGUGUUUAAACAGUGGCUGGGACUGGCAUGUCUUUGGAAAAUAACACAACUAUAACCCCAAAAUUGCAUUUAACAAAGAAAGUAGUGUGCUUGUGGGAUGAAGGUAACUGCAUGCCGUGCAUGCAGGUGUUCUUAUCCUAAUUUGCCAGUCAUCAGCUUUGCUUUUUUGCCUUCAUUAUCAAUGUUUAACAUCUGGGUUGAGUAUAAAUAAAUUUACUAUUUUAACUGCUUUCCACCCAAUAUUUUAUCAAAAUGUAGGUAUGUGUUGUAUGCUACAUAUACCUAUUUUCCACUUCCCCAUAUAAUUGAAAUUUUCAUGCUUCGCUGGUGGCACUGUGCCACAUAAAUUUUGUGCUACAUUGACACAAUUUUUGUACGCCAUUACAGUCCACUACCACCUUAAAAGUGAAAUUCCAACUUGAACUCUGCCCUCUGUUCCGCCAUCCAACUGGUGGCCUUCAAGCUUGUGAUGGAGUUUCCAAUGUUGGACAUGGCUGAGGCAGCUCUAAACUGAUUGGUCAUUCACACAUGUCCUUGGACAAGCUUCUGCAAAUGACCAUAUGGAAGAUGUCCAUCAUAAGUGACGCUUAUGGGAAAUGAGUUGUACUGCUGGCCAUCUUUGAAUGAAUGUUUUUUUUUUGCAUUCUUUUCAGAGACCGCCCCUCGUUCGGAAGGUGGGAGUCAUUCUGCAAGGCUUUGAAAAGGGGACUCCACAAAAUCUGCCAAGAGUGAGCAUGGAGAUGAUGAUGGACUUCUUCAACAGCAAUAAUUGCUAUAUACAGCCUGGAUGUCAGCACCACAAAGUUGAAAGGUCUAAGGGCGAAAACUACAGUCCCGAUGCCGUCGGAUAUGUGCAGCUGAAGCGUGAAGACUCCGUCUGCACUCUUCACGCCAGAGUGACGCCGGAGACCAAAGUCAGCGCUAAGGCUUACGAGGUGAUCGUAGUCAUAGAUGAGCGGUCUGAGACCAUCAGUAGCGCGCAAUGUCAGGACUGUGUGGCUGCGGCAGGAGGCUGCAAGCACGCUGGAGCAGUCCUGGGUUGGCUGUUCAUGAAAAGUUCCGAAAAGAGUGUGACUAGCACCGAGUCGUACUGGAAGAAGUCCCGCCUAUCCUCGGUACCAGCUGAAAUCAAAAGUGCCGCUAUCGAGGUGCUGCGACCAAAACAACGCAGUAGCACGGCAGGCAGUAGCAGCACCAAAAUGAUAGGUGCAGAUGCGUUGGAGGCCUUCCGCCAGGAAGUUCUGCAAUUAGGAACCGCUGCCAACUCGUCCGGCCUAUUCUUCAAUCACUACGGAGCAGUGUCGCAGGUUCACGAGGUGAGAAGUGUGGGAGUAGAUCGGCUCCUUCAGGCAUAUGUAGCCCACAGUGACGCCGCUGAGCCCCUGUCUGCGCCGGGGUUCUUGGCGUUCUGCAAGGAGAGGAUGUGCUCAGAGUUGUGCGAUCUUGUUGCGGAACAGACCUGUGACCAAAGUCAGUCCUGGCUGUGGCACGCUAUGCGUUUCGGUCGCGUCACCGCCUCUAAGGCCUACGCCGCGGCGCACUGCCAGAAGUUAGAUGGCACUAUCGUGUCUGGUAUCGUCGGCGCUGCAACGCUGAAGGACAGCGCCGCAAUGGAGCGAGGUCGCGUUCUGGAGCCACAGGUGCUAGAUGUAGUGGGGAAUCACCUCGGUGUCGAGUUGCGACGAGCGGGGCUGAUUCUGUCACCCAACUACCCGAUGUUCGGCGCGUCCCCGGAUGGGCUUACUCCAGACGGUAGCGUAGUGGAAGUUAAGUGUCCUGUUGACGAGAAAAACUUUCACAAGUACAUCCUCGCGAACGGUCAAGUUGCUGCUAGAUUCCGCGCGCAACUGCAGAUGUUGAUGACGUUGGCUAGUGCAAAGCGAUCGUUUUUCUGUGUAGCGCACCCAGACUUCGAACGGAGCGGUCGUGUCAGCAUUGUGGAGCUCGAGACCGAUGAGAAGUACAGUGAGGACCUACUCAACCGCUGUGAUAGCUUCUGGAAGGCAGCUGUGUUCCCAGUACUUGUGAAGUCUUAUAGCAGCGUCUGACCUAGUAGCACUCAGCAGACUGUGAUAUGGUGACGGACGGGGACCACUAAUGAACGGCAAUCGUUAGUGUUGUUUGCUCAAACGUUUUUAGUAGAGUGGACUAACCCCGCGUUCGGAGUCUCCCGGACGGCGGAAGAUUCUACACGUACAAUCUGCAUCGUCCGACAGACUCCGAACGCGGGGUAAGUUCAUUGUAGGUUCUUCACUAUUCCUUACACAUCACAAAGGUUGGUGUAAUUAGUUGCGCAGUGUCAUAUGUACAUAAGGGUUGUAACAUUGGGCAGAAUACAGCUUG
rnacentral:misc_RNA from 1 species